GAAAUUUCAUGCCCUUAAUUUUAACACUAUAGCAAUCAUUAACUCUGAGGGAUUCUAGCAUUAUACAUACAGUUGUGUUUUAGCAUUAGAUCACAUCCACUUAAAUAGUUAAGAUUGAAGACAUCCUCCUCUAAUGUGUUAAUCAGAAUAUAGACAAGAUUCAAAUUAUUCCUCAGGGUCUACUUUCUGUAAAAUCCCUGUUCAUAAUCAUAAUCGAGGUUGUGUAGGUUUUUUUCCACUUCAGCAUACCAUAGGUGUUAUGGGUUAAUCGAUGUAAACUGUGCAGCUACUAAUGAAUGCAGGUAGAUGUGGCAUUUAUCUCUAUAUGCGAUUGACCCUGGCACUUUCUGACUCUACAAGGACAAUUGAACCCAGGGAAAGCUACUCCUAUCUGCAAAACAGAAUGGAGUUGGCACCUCAGAUUUUGAAUUGAUGGAAACUGGCAGUGGAAAAAAGAAGCUAGGCUUACUAUAGAGUGUCCCAGAGAGUCUAUCAUUUGAACUCAAGUUUAGGUUGUUGCCUGUUCGGCUUUUCACUUGUUUCUUAAGGUGUUUUUGUGGAACAUUGUAUGCCACAUAUUUCCUUACACUGUCAGAAAAGUAGCUUGUCAUUACAUUAAUUAAAUACACUUUGUUUGAGUAAGUGUGUGAAUGUGCAUAUGUGAUUGGUGCCCAGUGAUUGAGACUCAAUUCUCAUCUGGGGCAAAUUCUUUUGCUUGGCACCUGGUGUUACUGGGAUUGGUUUUGGAUUCCUGAUCAGAAUAAAAUGGAUUUUGUAGAUGGAUGAAUGAAUUUGUGAUACUUGGAAAAACUACAUAGGUUAUGAGCCUUUAUACUAACAUAUGAAUGAUUUGGAUAAAAUCCCAAAUUGCAUAACCUGAAGACAGUUUAAAUAAACAAUAAAUAAUAAAAAAACAGAUUAUAAACACAGCAAUCUAAAUAAUUUCUGUUUAAUCUGUGUCUUUU